UACGGGGGGGGUAAGCGUUGUUCGGAAUUACUGGGCGUAAAGGGCUCGUAGGCGGCCAACUAAGUCGGACGUGAAAUCCCUCAGCUUAACUGGGGAACUGCGUCCGAUACUGGAUGGCUUGGAUUUGGGAGAGGGAUGCGGAAUUCCAGGUGUAGCGGUGAAAUGCGUAGAUAUCUGGAGGAACACCGGUGGCGAAGGCGGCAUCCUGGACCAACACUGACACUGAGGAGCGAAAGCCAGGGGAGCAAACGGG
rnacentral:rRNA from 1 species